AAGUCGUAACAAGGUCUCCGUUGGUGAACCAGCGGAGGGAUCAUUACCGAGUUUACAACUCCCAAACCCAUGUGAACAUUACCUCUAUGUUGCUUCGGCGGAGCCGCCCCGGCGCCCGGAACCCCCUGCGGUCCCGCGGCCCGGAACCAAGGCGCCCGCCGGAGGCCACAAACUCUCCUGUUUUUACAGUUUCUUCUGAGUGUGCCGCAAGGCAGUAUACAAAUGAAUCAAAACUUUCAACAACGGAUCUCUUGGUUCUGGCAUCGAUGAAGAACGCAGCGAAAUGCGAUAAGUAAUGUGGAUUGCAGAAUUCAGUGAAUCAUCGAAUCUUUGAACGCACAUUGCGCCCGCCAGAAUUCUGGCGGGCAUGCCUGUUCGAGCGUCAUUUCAACCCUCGAGCUCCCCUUUCGGGGGGAGCCCGGCGUUGGGGACCCGGCGCUAACAACGCCGGCCCCGAAAUGGAGUGGCGGCCCGUCCGCGGCGACCUCUGCGUAGUAACAACCACUCGCACCGGGACCCGGGCGCGGCCACGCCGUAAAACACCCCACCUUCCGAAUGUUGACCUCGAAUCAGGUAGGAAUACCCGCUGAACUUAA
rnacentral:rRNA from 1 species